UUUUAUGGAGAGUUUGAUCCUGGCUCAGAGUGAACGCUGGCGGCGUGCCUAAUACAUGCAAGUCGAACGGAGUAUUAAGAGAGCUUGCUCUUUUAAUACUUAGUGGCGCACGGGUGAGUAAUGUAUAGUUAAUCUGCCCUACACUGGAGGACAACAGUUAGAAAUGACUGCUAAUACUCCAUACUCCUUCUUAACAUAAGUUAAGUCGGGAAAGUUUUUCGGUGUAGGAUGAGACUAUAUUGUAUCAGCUAGUUGGUAAGGUAAUGGCUUACCAAGGCUUUGACGCAUAACUGGUCUGAGAGGAUGAUCAGUCACACUGGAACUGAGACACGGUCCAGACUCCUACGGGAGGCAGCAGUAGGGAAUAUUGCUCAAUGGGGG
rnacentral:rRNA from 1 species